CACUAUAUAUACACACACAAUUAUAUUGUGCCCAUUCAUUUCUCACCAACCAUCAAACACAUUUAGCAAACAAUGGCUUCCUCUGCUCCUACAUUCUACACCAUGUUUCUGUUCCUCUGCUUUGCCCUGCUCCUAUUCUCUACAUCGGAGGUGGAAGCACAAUUUUGUGAAAAGCCUAGCAGAGUCCAAACGCCAAGAAGGGAUCGUUGUGUAGUUGGUGGAGAUGGAAGCUGCUCAAAGGUGUGCGUCAACAUCGAACAUGCAUAUUUCGGUGUUUGUAUGCGUCGUGGCUCUGGUUACGAAUGUCAUUGCUUCUUCCUCUGCUAAACACUUCAGUUCAUUUCUGCUCAUGCAGUGUGCUCCUUUAAAGUUUCCUAUAAAUAAAAUAAUGGAAAUGAACAAUUUGUAUUAUAGAAUAGAAUAAAUGGAACUUGUUCUUGAGAUUUCA